rnacentral:rRNA from 1 species
GAUGAACGCUAGCGGCAGGCUUAAUACCUGCAAGUCGAGGGGCCGCAGGCCUGUAGCAUUACAGUUGCUGGCGACCGGCAAACGGGUCCGGAACACGUAUGCAAACUACCCAAAACUGGGGGAUAGCCCGGGGAACCCCGGAAUAAUAACACGUAACCUUCUCAAGUAGCAUUACUUGAUAAGUAUAGCUCAGGCGCCUCUCGAUGCGCGAGCGCCUGUUUAGGUAGUUGGUGCGGGUAACGGCCCACCAAGCCUGCGAUCAGUAACUGAUGUGAGAGCACGACCAAUCGGACGGGGACUGGGUGACGGGCCCGACACCGACGGGAGGCAGCAGGAAGGAAUAUGGGUCGAUGGACGCAAGUCUGAACCAACCAUGCCGCGUGAAGGAUGAAGGUCCUCUGGAAUGUAAACUUCUGGUAUGGUUGACGAACCCCGGAUAUUCUGAGGCGAUUGACGGUACCUCAGGAAGAAGCACCGGCUAACUCCGUG